CUAAGAGGCCUAGUCUGAUCAUUGCUGUCAUUUGCGGGGAAAUGACACCAGAAGUACUGAAGGAAUCUAAGGAUGAGAUAAAAUUCCAACUGAUAAGAACUCCACUGUCAUGUUUUGUCCUGCACCAAAGAUAGAGCAGCCUGGACUAACCAUCUUAGUUGAAGUUAGCCUGAACGGAAGAGACUUCCUUGCCCACACCAUCCCUGUGAAUACUUCUGACUGUAUACCAGUGACCACCACUCCUGCCCCUGAAACCUCUACCCUGCCAACAAUUCUGACAGCUUCACCAAAAAGCCCUAUCCCCAAAACUACUGUCCCCCAUAUUAUACUCCCCCCUCUUCUACCUCCACCCCUGCCUCUGCCUUCACCAGCCAUUGUGCGUCCGCCAGCUGAGCCAAGCAAAGAAGUUUUGCUCAGCACUGUGGUCCUGCUCCUGAUGCUGAUCCCUGUGGUGCUGUGGUGGGUCUGGUGGCUGUGCUGCA